rnacentral:SRP_RNA from 1 species
UACCUGUAGCGGGUCCUCAUCAGAAGGUACACCGUCAUCCCCAUCCAUCUUCCUUGUCUGCACCGCAGCAGGAGCCCAGUUCGAGUCUCGUGGUGUCCUUUUUCAAAUCCACUCACUCGGGUAACCAGUGAUGCUGGAGGGACCUAAGCAAUGAAUGCAAUUUUGACGAGGGAAGAAAUUCUGCAGUCGGGCAUUCACCAUGGGACGGCGGCGCUGGAUUACUCUUAUUGUGGUUGGAAGGCGGGUUGGCGGGCUGGUGUAUCGACUGAUAUU